rnacentral:rRNA from 1 species
AUACGUAGGUGACAAGCGUUAUCCGGAUUUACUGGGCGUAAAGGGCGUGUAGGCGGUCUUGUAAGCUUGGCGUGAAAGACCACGGCUCAACCGUGGGAUUGCGUUGAGAACUGCGAGGCUUGAGUGACGGAGAGGGAGCUAGAAUUCCUGGUGUAGGGGUGGAAUCUGUAGAGAUCAGGAAGAAUACCAAUGGCGAAGGCAAGCUCCUGGCCGAUGACUGACGCUGAGGUGCGAAAGUGUGGGGAUCAAACAGGAUUAGAUACCCUGGUAGUCCACACUGUAAACGAUGUGCACUAGGUGCUGGUACGGAUGUAUCAGUGCCGUAGCUAACGUGAUAAGUGCACCGCCUGGGGAGUAUGCUCGCAAGGUUGAAACUCAAAGGAAUUGACGGGG